UAUCACUAAAAUCAGUAUUUUUUUUUGACGAAAAGGGAAAUCCGCAGCCGCUACCCUUUUGGGUGCGCACAGGGUAAAACACCGCUUCUAUGCAAUAGCUCGCAAACCACAUAGGAGAGGUAAUCCGCACUAGGCAAGCCUGGUGCAACGAGUUCGACCCAGAAGGCAAAACCCGUGCUCUCGCUUGUCAAGGGGUUCCGAACUUGGAAGUCCCAAGCCCAAACCACUAGGUCACCCCGAA
rnacentral:misc_RNA from 1 species